rnacentral:rRNA from 1 species
UACGGGGGGGGGUAAGCGUUGUUCGGAAUUACUGGGCGUAAAGGGCUCGUAGGCGGCCAACUAAGUCAGACGUGAAAUCCCUCGGCUUAACCGGGGGAACUGCCUCUGAUACUGGAUGGCUUGAGAUUGGGAGAGGGAUGCGGAAUUCCAGGUGUAGCGGUGAAAUGCGUAGAUAUCUGGAGGAACACCGGUGGCGAAGGCGGCCAUCUGGACGGACACUGACGCUGAGGCGCGAAAGCGUGGGGAGCAAACAGG